AUGGUUUCUACAUCAUUUCAUCCAUCUUUUAUCUCUCUCUCUCUCAAUCCUUCAUUAUUCUAUGCAAAUAUUUUUUCCACCCUUUCACUUUCUCUUUCUCUUCUCACCACCGAUCUCUCUCUUCUUCCUCCUUCCUCUUAUUUUACAAACCCGAAUGUUGUUUAUGUUUCCUUCUUUAAUUUUGUAGGGCUUUUGCAAACCCAAGGGCGGAAAGGGCAAACCAAAGGCCUCCAAAUCUGUUUCAAGGUCGUCUUAAGCCGGUCUUCAAUUCCCUGUCGGUAG